UCAGAGAACACACACUGGGGGCCUUCUAGGUGCUACCUGGGAGGCAAAGGUACAAAGGUGAAAGAAACACAAUUUUGCCCUCAAAAUCUAGCCCAGGUAACCAAAAAUAUUAAUAAUAAUACUGCAUUGAAUGCAAAAAAAUACUCUAAUAGAGGGAAACCUAUGUCCUCAGCCAUAGACUCUUGUUUGUUAGAAGUACAACCUGAAAUCCAGAGGACUGUACAAGGAGAUUUUUCUGCUGGGCUGAGUUUUUUCUUAUUUAAUCUGCUUGUAAAACCCUCACUUUCCAUUUCUACAGCCACUCCAUCAGGAAUUUUGAUGAACUGGGGGACAGAAAGCCUAUCUGUAUGUAAAAAAGCUGAGGUAUUGCAGAGUGCCUUUUUGGAUUUUUCCUCUGACAAGUGGUUGGCAUCUGCUAACAACACUUCUUUUCUUGAGCUUUGUAACGUUGCCAGACUGAGAACUGAGCUUUGAAAAAGGAGAAGGAGCUGUUAACAAAUGCCUUUGUUAUCUCCAGAAUUGAUUAUUGUACAGUGGUUCGUGGAAAAAAAACUUGAUGUGUAUCUUGUCUCAAUAUUUACCUGCUCCUUCCAGGAAAUAUUGUGCUAAGAGAAAUUCCCUUUAGUACAACAAAUGUCAACUUGCCUAAGAUAACUGGUGCAAUUCACCAAUUGACUGUCCUUUUCCCAUCUGAGGAAACAGUAUGAUAAGACCCCAGGAAGAAUUUCUUAUUAAGUGCUUGGAGAUCUUUUGAAUUUGAUGGCUGCUUGAAAUGUUUCAGAUACCUUUUCCCCCUUUCUUUCAUUCGAGAAAUAUUUAUUGGAACCUUCUACAUGCCAAGCUCUUUGCUGGCCUCUUGAAAAAUACUAAUGAAGGAAACAAAACCAAGGUAGAAUGGCCUUCAUGGAGAUUAGGUCUGGUGGAGGAGAGGAGGGUUCUACGAACAAUUCCAAUACAUGAUGUUAAGCCACGAUUGCAGAGUAUAUGUGUUAGGAGAAAGAGUGGUACAGGAGAUGAAAGGCAGCUAUUUUGAGAAAGUGAUCUGCAAACUAAAACUAGAGAUGGCAUUUUCCAAACAAAAGCUACAGCACAUUAAAAAAAAAAAAAGGAUUCUGAGGUAAAAGAGUGUGGCAAGUCACCCAACUUCUCUAAGCCUCAGGUUCCUCUUCUUUAAAAUGGGGAUAAUGGAGUUUCCGUCGUGGCUCAGUGGUUACCGAAUCUGACUAGGAACCAUGAGGUUGCAGGUUUGAUUCCUAGCCUCGCUCAGUGGGUUAAGGAUCGGGCAUUGCCGUGACCUAUGGUGUAGGUCGCAGAUGCGGCUCAGAUCCCGUGUUGCUGUGGCUGUGGCGUAGACCGGUGGCUACAGCUCCGAUUAGACCUCUAGCCUGGGAACCUCCAUAUACCACUGGUGCAGCCCUAAAAAGGACAAAAAAGACUAAAUAAAUAAAUAAAUAAAUAAAUAAAAUGGAGAUAAUAACAAAAUCCAUAUUUAUAGUGUUGCAAGGGUUAAUUGGAUAGUCCAGUAAGACACUGAGUGCAGUGUUUAUUAGUAAGUACUCCUGAAAUGUUGUUUAGUAUUUAUUUGCUUAUUGAGGAACCAAGAAAAAGUCAAGAUCAGGAUGGCUGGGUUUCCUAGUAUUUUUCUCCCAAUUGUGUUUGCCAAGUCUCCUUUACAGCUAGAAGGUAGCCUGGGCAGCACAAAAGAAACUCUCCAAGGUGGAGAUGGAGCAAAUAUUGGUUAUUUAUAUAUCUUUAUCUGACUCAAAUCAUCCAUUCGUUGCAGACAAGCGCUAUGUCUUAUUUAUUUCAUAUCAACACACAGAGUGCCUGGAACAAAAUAACUUUUUGAUAAAUGUUUCAUGAAUGAAUGAACACAUAGAGAUUAGAAACACCAGAAUAGAAUCAAGUAGAAUAGAAUAGAAUCCAAUAGAAUCCCAUCGAAUCUUGGUGCUGAGCUAACUAUUGUGGGAGAAUUCAAAGAAGAAUAGCUUCACUUAUAACCUAGGGAGCUGUCCAGGGUUAACUCAAUAAGUGGUAUGGCUGGUACUCAAACCCUAACUAGGCCUGCCUAUGCAGUAACUGGAGGGAGUAGAUGGCUUUUAAAGAUAAAAUAGGAAUCCCUUGCCACCUUUAGGUCUGAUACACAGAUUCAUUUUAUAUUUUAUAUUAGAUUAUAUGCCUUUCUCCUAGAUCUAAUUGUUCUCCCUACUUGUUCAUUUAUCCGGAUCCUGCUCUCCUCUGGGGGUUCUGCUAAAUUUUUACCUCUUCCAAGCUCCCUUCUCACAUGUGCCAAGCCACAUGGUUACAAUCUCCGCUGGACUCUGCUCUUCAGCCAUCAGGUUCGCCCUGCUGGCUUAGUGCUUGGCAAUUACUACAUUACAUGCAUAAUUACAUUUUUUAUUUACAUGCUCGACCCUCAGCUCAAUAAUAAAAUCAUCAAGUAUUAGUCCUGAAAGGCUCUUACUCUGAGUUCAAAUCUUAGCUCCAUCCCUCCUGAGCUGUGUUCCCAUUUGCAUGUUAUUUGACUUCUCUGUGCUUUGGUUCCUCCCUUUAAAAAUGAGAACAGUAUUACCCUCUCAUAUGGUUGUUGUAAGGAGGAAAUGCAUUAGUGCAUGUCAAGCAUCUGGGGGUUUUCAAUGGCUGUUAACUACUUUCUUAGGCUGAUAGAUAAGAUACAGAACUCAUUCUUUAAAUAAAGCUGAACCCAGGAAAAGAAGGUACUGGAGUUCCAUCUGUUUUACCCACCUGCUCUGUGGUCAACCUUCACUCCAGAAUGACUUGAGCUCCAAAAUUACCCAUCAUUCUUUAUGGAGUAAAAAGCAGAGACCUAGCCAGGUGAAGUGACGUGCCUCAGCUCACACAGCCAGUAAUCGACAGGGGAGGUCUGGCCUCAGGUCAGCGUUCUCACCUACACCACACAAGCCCAUGCCUUACCAUCAGUUAUCGUUAUGUGUUCUUUCUCCUCUACCCCAUUCUCCCCCCAACUCCCACUCCAGCAAGAAGCUGUGCAUGGUUGUAUCCAUUCUGUGAGGGUACACAUUUGAGCAUACACAAACCAGCCCCUGCAUUGCCGGAGUUCACACUUCUGGGGGAGGGGAUGGGGGGAGAUAGAAACAUAACCAGUAAUUAUAAUAGGAGAGAAUUGAUAUAAUGAUAGAGGUAUGCACAGGGAGCACAGAUGAGGGAUAAUCAAUCCAGCCUUGAGCGAAAGGUGAAGGAUGGCUAAGAGGUAACAAGGCCCAUUGGACACGUGCGGGUGUUCGUAACAGGUCACAGUUGGGCAAACACACAGGGGCAUGGAAUAGCACGACCUCUGUGAGAAACUACCAGCAGUUUCCUUGGCCUACUAACUAGAGCAUGAAGUCGGAAGCGGGGAAGACAGGGCUAGAGAGGAAGGGGGGGAUGGUCACGUACUGGGGGAGGAUGAGGGGAGGGGCAUGAUGCUCCUGUUGGAACAUCUCUGGAUUGAUUUUGGUUUCUGUGCUUUGCAGUUGAGUGGGUUAUGUUUGC
rnacentral:lncRNA from 1 species